AUUGAAUACUUACCCUACACCCAAACCAAUAGCAAUACCACCAAGUGCUCUGACUUUCCGCUUUUCAUAGUAAACUUCGCUUUCCAGUUUGGUGAUACGCGACCUUUUCACAGGUACCAUAGCAUUGUAAUCCUCGUUUUCCUCAAAAUCCUCUCUACUUCUCUUCUUUGACUUUGGAGAGGAUCGAAUGGAAGAUUUCAAAGUAUCCCCAAUGCUCUUUUCCAAAUUCUCGAACUUCUUUUCCAACUUUCCGACAGGUUUUCUUACUUGGCUUGCAACACCAGUUACACCUUUGUUAACUUGAUUAGCGACACCAUUCAUGCCUUUGUUGACCUGGCUUGCAACACCAUUCACGCCCUUGUUAACUUGACUGGCAACA